rnacentral:rRNA from 1 species
UACAGAGGGGGCAAGCGUUGUUCGGAAUUACUGGGCGUAAAGGGCGCGUAGGCGGCCUGCUAAGUCGAACGUGAAAUCCCCGGGCUCAACCCGGGAACUGCGUCCGAUACUGGCAGGCUUGAAUCCGGGAGAGGGAUGUGGAAUUCCAGGUGUAGCGGUGAAAUGCGUAGAUAUCUGGAGGAACACCCGUGGCGAAAGCGGCGCGCUGGACCACUACUGACGCUGAGGAACGAAAGCUAGGGGAGCAAACAGG